GACGAACGCUGGCGGCGUGCCUAAUACAUGCAAGUAGAACGCUGAAGGAGGAGCUUGGUCUUCUUGAUGAGUUCCGCACGCGUGAGUGUCACGUAUGUAACCUGCCUGGUAGCGGGGGGUAACUCUUGGAAACGAUAGCUAAUAUCGCAUAUCAUAAGAUGUUGCAUAACAUUUACUUAAAAGAUGCACUUUCAUCUCUCUCAUAUAGACCUGCGUUGUAUUUGCUAGUUGGGGGGAUAACGGCUCACCAAGGCGAAGGUACAUAUCCGACCUGAGAGGGUGAUCGGCCACACUGGGACUGAGACACGGCCCAGACUCCUACGGGAGGCAGCAGUAGGGAAUCUUCGGCAAUGGACGGAAGUCUGACCGAGCAACGCCGCGUGAGUGAAGAAGGUUUUCGGAUCGCAAAGCUCUGUUGUUAGAGAAGAACGAGUGUGAGAGUGGAAAGUUCAUACUGUGACGGUAUCUAACCAGAAAGGGACGGCUAACUACGUG
rnacentral:rRNA from 1 species